UUAAGUCCCGCAACGAGCGCAACCCUUGCCUUUAGUUGCCAGCAGUUCGGCUGGGCACUCUAAAGGGACUGCCGGUGUUAAACCGGAGGAAGGUGGGGAUGACGUCAAGUCCUCAUGGCCUUUAUGACCAGGGCUACACACGUACUACAAUGGCCGAUACAAAGGGCAGCGACACUGCGAGGUGAAGCCAAUCCCGUAAAAUCGGUCUCAGUCCGGAUUGGAGUCUGCAACUCGACUCCAUGAAGUUGGAAUCGCUAGUAAUCGUGGAUCAGCAUGCCACGGUGAAUACGUUCCCGGGCCUU
rnacentral:rRNA from 1 species